rnacentral:rRNA from 1 species
CCUACGGGUGGCAGCAGUGAGGAAUAUUGGUCAAUGGGCGAGAGCCUGAACCAGCCAAGUCGCGUGAAGGAUGACGGCCCUACGGGUUGUAAACUUCUUUUGUCAGGGAGCAAUUGGUUCCACGCGUGGGCUUAGCGGGAGUACCUGAAGAAAAAGCAUCGGCUAACUCCGUGCCAGCAGCGCCGGUAAUACGGAGGAUGCGAGCGUUAUCCGGAUUUAUUGGGUUUAAAGGGUCCGUAGGAGGAAUAUCAAGUCAGCGGUAAAAAUUCGGGGCUCAACCCCGUCGCGCCGUUGAAACUGGUUUUCUUGAGUGAGCGAGAAGUAUGCGGAAUGCGUGGUGUAGCGGUGA